AGUCGACGGGAUUGAGGAGCUUGCUUCUCAUGAGAGUGGCGUACGGGUGCGUAACGCGUAUGCAACCUACCUUCAUCAGGGGGAUAGCCCGAAGAAAUUCGGAUUAACACCGCAUAACAUUAUCGAAUGGCAUCAUUUGAUGAUCAAAUAUUUAUAGGAUGAAGAUGGGCAUGCGUGUCAUUAGCUAGUUGGUGAGGUAACGGCUCACCAAGGCGACGAUGACUAGGGGAUCUGAGAGGAUGACCCCCCACACUGGUACUGAGACACGGACCAGACUCCUACGGGAGGCAGCAGUAAGGAAUAUUGGUCAAUGGAGGCAACUCUGAACCAGCCAUGCCGCGUGCAGGAAGACUGCCCUAUGGGUUGUAAACUGCUUUUAUACGGGAAUAAACAAUCUUUCGUGAAAGAUCUUGAAUGUACCGUAAGAAUAAGGAUCGGCUAACUCCGUGCCAGCAGCCGCGGUAAUACGGAGGAUCCAAGCGUUAUCCGGAUUUAUUGGGUUUAAAGGGAGCGUAGGCGGCCUAUUAAGUCAGGGGUGAAAGACGGUGGCUCAACCAUCGCAGUGCCUUUGAUACUGGUAGGCUUGAAUGUAGUUGAGGUAGGCGGAAUGUGACAAGUAGCGGUGAAAUGCAUAGAUAUGUCACAGAACACCGAUUGCGAAGGCAGCUUACUAAGCUAUGAUUGACGCUGAGGCUCGAAAGCGUGG
rnacentral:rRNA from 1 species